rnacentral:rRNA from 1 species
GAAACUAACCAGGAUUCCCCCAGUAACGGCGAGUGAAGGGGGAUUAGCCCAGCAUCGAAGCCUAUGUCCGUUUGGGUAUAAGGCAAUGUGAUGUUGUGGGGUACGCCUGGGGUCACUGAUCAACUCGAAGUCCAAUAUUGAAUGUGGCUUUGGUAUAUGUCCCAUAGCGGGUGAUAGGCCCGUGCGAGUUGAUUGUCAGUUAUGAUAGUGGCCUUCUAGAUGCGUGCUCCGUGGAGUCGGAUUGCUUGAGAAUGCAGUCCAAAGUUGGUGGUAAACUCCAUCAAAGGCUAAAUACUGGCACGAGUCCGAUAGCAAACAAGUACCGUGAGGGAAAGUUGAAAAGUACUCUGAAGAGAGAGUAAAUAGUACGUGAAACCACAUACAGGUAAACGGGUGGAGUCCAGCUGCGUGUUCUGUGGACUUAGCUGGUGUGUGCAUUACAGAUGUUGUAAACUGCCAUGUGUAGCUUGUCUACAAUGACAAAUUAGGCUUAUGCCUAAUACACGUCCGCUUUGUAAGCGGUGUGAGCUAUACGUGCGCGUCUGUUUGCAUGCCAGUGUCAUUCCUCAGGACUGACAUCACAGUCAAUAUUGCUGCCAGUGUGUGACUAUCAAACCGUAGAGUGUUGGGCCUUGAAGCUCGCAUUCUGCGUGGAUGGCAGGUGGUUUAGCUGUUUACCUUUGGGUGAACAGUUGAACUUAAAAAUGGCUUCGGCCAGCCGAUGAUCAUGCUGUGUAUAUGGCUUCCAUUAAACUGUCCAGAGUAUUGGUAAUAAGUAUCUGGGCCUAAUGGCGUGAGCAUAGGCAGGGUCAUCGAGAAGUUAUGUGUACCAGCAUGCUUUUAGCGGGGUAGUGUGUGAGUUUGAGUGGUGCGGUUGCGUCUUCGCAUAAACUGUGGUGUUGUGGUA